rnacentral:rRNA from 1 species
UUUUUCAAGCAGAAGACGGCAUACGAGAUUGUUGACUGUGACUGGAGUUCAGACGUGUGCUCUUCCGAUCUACGGGAGGCAGCAGUGGGGAAUAUUGCGCAAUGGGGGCAACCCUGACGCAGCCAUGCCGCGUGAAUGAAGAAGGCCUUCGGGUUGUAAAGUUCUUUCGGUAGCGAGGAAGGCAUUUAGUUUAAUAGACUAGGUGAUUGACGUUAACUACAGAAGAAGCACCGGCUAACUCCGUGCCAGCAGCCGCGGUAAUACGGAGGGUGCGAGCGUUAAUCGGAAUAACUGGGCGUAAAGGGCACGCAGGCGGUGACUUAAGUGAGGUGUGAAAGCCCCGGGCUUAACCUGGGAAUUGCAUUUCAUACUGGGUCGCUAGAGUACUUUAGGGAGGGGUAGAAUUCCACGUGUAGCGGUGAAAUGCGUAGAGAUGUGGAGGAAUACCGAAGGCGAAGGCAGCCCCUUGGGAAUGUACUGACGCUCAUGUGCGAAAGCGUGGGGAGCAAACAGGAUUAGAUACCCUGGUAGUCCACGCUGUAAACGAUGUCGAUUUGGGGGUUGAGCUUUGAGCUUGGCGCCCGUAGCUAACGUGAUAAAUCGACCGCCUGGGGAGUACGGCCGCAAGGUUAAAACUCAAAUGAAUUGACGGGGGCCCGCACAAGCGGUGGAGCAUGUGGUUUAAUUCGAUGCAACGCGAAGAACCUUACCUACUCUUGACAUCCAGAGAACUUUCCAGAGAUGGAUUGGUGCCUUCGGGAACUCUGAGACAGGUGCUGCAUGGCUGUCGUCAGCUCGUGUUGUGAAAUGUUGGGUUAAGUCCCGUAACGAGCGCAACCCUUGUCCUUAUUUGCCAGCACGUAAUGGUGGGAACUCUAAGGAGACUGCCGGUGACAAACCGGAGGAAGGUGGGGACGACGUCAAGUCAUCAUGGCCCUUACGGGUAGGGCUACACACGUGCUACAAUGGCCGGUACAAAGGGUUGCGAGACCGCGAGGUGGAGCGAAUCCCAGAAAGCCGGCCUCAGUCCGGAUCGGAGUCUGCAACUCGACUCCGUGAAGUCGGAAUCGCUAGUAAUCGUGAAUCAGAAUGUCACGGUGAAUACGUUCCCGGGCCUUGUACACACCGCCCGUCACACCAUGGGAGUGGACUGCACCAGAAGUGGUUAGCUUAACCUUCGGGGGAGCGAUCACCACGGUGUGGUUCAUGACUGGGGUGAAGUCGUAACAAGGUAGCCGUAGGGGAACCUGCGGCUG